GUGGAGCUGGCGUAAUGGCGGAGGCUGCUUUCCUGGUCCUUCUAGGCUACCGGGCCUAUGGUCUACGAGUCAGGGCUGUGUUGUUCUGUACAGAGAGCGAUGCUGUUUUUCUUCUCCCUACAAUACUCUGUUCAUGAGAUUCCUGUAAGAGGUUCUGAUGGAAAACCCCCUUCAGCCAAUGACCUUUAAGAGACUGGACCAGGCAAAAAUCACCAUGAGGCUGCAACUGCAACACCUGCUGGCCGGUAAUAAUUUUUACACCUACUCCAAUUCACUGUAAUUGCCUAAGGACAGGUAAGAUCUGUAAAGCUACAAAAACAAUUACCAAUAACAUAGCUAUUCAGGAGUUCAAUAAUUAUUUUGCUUAUUCUAUGGAUGGUAUUCUGCAAGGCUUAUGUGAUUUUCCUUAUACAUCCCUUUAUUUGGUUCUAGGGAUUAGUUUUAUUUUUUUCAUAUUAUCUCAUUAAAAAUGGUUUGAUGGGCUGGAGAGAUGGCUCAGAGGU